rnacentral:rRNA from 1 species
UACAGAGGUGGCAAGCGUUGUUCGGAAUUACUGGGCGUAAAGGGCGCGUAGGCGGUUCGUUAAGUCCUGUGUGAAAUCCCCCGGCUCAACUGGGGAACUGCACAGGAAACUAGCGGGCUUGAGUUCGGGAGAGGGAAGCGGAAUUCCGGGUGUAGCGGUGAAAUGCGUAGAUAUCUGGAGGAACACCGGUGGCGAAGGCGGCAUCCUGGACCGACACUGACACUGAGGAGCGAAAGCCAGGGGAGCAAACGGGG